rnacentral:rRNA from 1 species
AGAGUUUGAUCUGGCUCAGAGCGAACGCUGGCGGCAGGCUUAACACAUGCAAGUCGAGCGGGCGUAGUAAUACGUCAGCGGCAGACGGGUGAGUAACGCGUGGGAACGUACCUUUUGGUUCGGAACAACACAGGGAAACUUGUGCUAAUACCGGAUAAGCCCUUACGGGGAAAGAUUUAUCGCCGAAAGAUCGGCCCGCGUCUGAUUAGCUAGUUGGUGUGGUAACGGCGCACCAAGGCGACGAUCAGUAGCUGGUCUGAGAGGAUGAUCAGCCACAUUGGGACUGAGACACGGCCCAAACUCCUACGGGAGGCAGCAGUGGGGAAUAUUGGACAAUGGGCGCAAGCCUGAUCCAGCCAUGCCGCGUGAGUGAUGAAGGCCCUAGGGUUGUAAAGCUCUUUUGUGCGGGAAGAUAAUGACGGUACCGCAAGAAUAAGCCCCGGCUAACUUCGUGCCAGCAGCCGCGGUAAUACGAAGGGGGCUAGCGUUGCUCGGAAUCACUGGGCGUAAAGGGUGCGUAGGCGGGUCUUUAAGUCAGGGGUGAAAUCCUGGAGCUCAACUCCAGAACUGCCUUUGAUACUGAGGAUCUUGAGUUCGGGAGAGGUGAGUGGAACUGCGAGUGUAGAGGUGAAAUUCGUAGAUAUUCGCAAGAACACCAGUGGCGAAGGCGGCUCACUGGCCCGAUACUGACGCUGAGGCACGAAAGCGUGGGGAGCAAACAGGAUUAGAUACCCUAGUAGUCC